rnacentral:hammerhead_ribozyme from 1 species
AUCCAUCUGACGAGUCCCAAAUAGAACUAAACACAUGCUCCUGCAU